rnacentral:rRNA from 1 species
GACGUAGGGCGCGAGCGUUGUCCGGAUUUAUUGGGCGUAAAGAGCUCGUAGGCGGCUUGUCGCGUCGAAUGUGAAAACUCGGGGCUCAACUCCGAGCUUGCAUUCGAUACGGGCAGGCUAGAGUUCGGUAGGGGAGACUGGAAUUCCUGGUGUAGCGGUGGAAUGCGCAGAUAUCAGGAGGAACACCGAUGGCGAAGGCAGGUCUCUGGGCAUUAACUGACGCUGAGGAGCGAAAGCAUGGGGAGCGAACAGG